UAUGUAGGGUCCGAGCGUUGUCCGGAAUUAUUGGGCGUAAAGAGCUCGUAGGCGGUUUGUCGCGUCUGCUGUGAAAUCCCGAGGCUCAACCUCGGGUCUGCAGUGGGUACGGGCAGACUGGAGUGCGGUAGGGGAGAAUGGAAUUCCUGGUGUAGCGGUGGAAUGCGCAGAUAUCAGGAGGAACACCGAUGGCGAAGGCAGUUCUCUGGGCCGUAACUGACGCUCAUGCACGAAAGCGUGGGGAGCAAACAGG
rnacentral:rRNA from 1 species